rnacentral:rRNA from 1 species
UACGUAGGGGGCAAGCGUUGUCCGGAUUUACUGGGCGUAAAGAGCGUGUAGGCGGCCACGCAGGUCCGUAGUGAAAACUGGAGGCUCAACCUCCAGCUGUCGACGGAAACCGUGUGGCUAGAGUCCGGAAGAGGAGAGUGGAAUUCCUGGUGUAGCGGUGAAAUGCGCAGAUAUCAGGAAGAACACCAAUGGCGAAGGCAGCUCUCUGGGACGGUACUGACGCUGAGACGCGAAAGCGUGGGGAGCGAACAGG